rnacentral:rRNA from 1 species
UACGGGGGGGGCAAGCGUUAUUCGGAAUUACUGGGCGUAAAGGGCUCGUAGGUGGCCAACUAAGUCAGACGUGAAAUCCCUCAGCUUAACUGGGGAACUGCGUCUGAUACUGGAUGGCUUGAGUUUGGGAGAGGGAUGCGGAAUUCCAGGUGUAGCGGUGAAAUGCGCAGAUAUCAGGAGGAACACCGGUGGCGAAGGCGGGUCUCUGGGCCGAAAUUGACGCUGGAGGAGCGAAAGCGUGGGGAGCAAACAGG